rnacentral:piRNA from 1 species
UCUCUGCAGUCUGAAGCCCUAAGCAGGGGUGU